AAUACAGAGUACUCAGUUAAAUUUGAAUUUCAGAUAAACAACAAUUUCUUUUUAAGUGUAAGUAUGUCUCAUGCAACCUUUGGGAUAUACUUAUACUAAAAAAUAUAUUAUCUAUCAGAAAUUCAAGUUUAACUGGACACGCUAUGUUUU
rnacentral:miRNA from 1 species